AGUAGCGCAAGGGCGGGGUGGGGCCAAGGGGACCCUCUCCGACAAGUGGGGGUCCUGAGCGCUGCCCCAGAAGGGGUCGAGAGAACGUUGUGGGCUGGAACACACACACCCGCGGGGGCAGAAACUGGACGACACGACGGACGUCGCCAGCAUCCAGGGCUCUGUCCCUCCUCUCAGCAGCCCCAUGUUCACCACCUCUGCGUUAGCACUCUGUGGGCCCAGGGCGGUCCCCGGGUUAACGCCAGGGCGCUCUCGGAUGCUCUGCGAAUCGCUGCUCCGUCCUUACUUUGGGGUCCCGCUUCCGCCGGCCGCUAAUUAGCGCUCCGGCCCUCUUGGGCAUCUCAAACUCACCCCCGGGGUCAAAUGUGCGCCUCUCCUGGAAAUCUUCUACGAAGGGGACAAACUUUUGAGUGGACGAAAAUCUAAAGGAGCCUGUCGAGAGCAGGCAAAGCAUCACCUCUACCUCAGUAUGCCACUGAGUAUCGGAAAAAUUUUGCCACCCCAAGACUUCAGUGUGUUGUGGAUAGAUAAACAAAUAAACAGAUGGAAAAAGAAAA